rnacentral:rRNA from 1 species
GAUCAUGGCUCAGGACGAACGCUGGCGGCACGCUUAACACAUGCAAGUCGAACGAGAGAAGAGAAGCUUGCUUUUCUGAUCUAGUGGCGGACGGGUGAGUAACACGUGAGCAAUCUGCCUUUCAGAGGGGGGAUACCGAUUGGAAACGAUCGUUAAUACCGCAUAAUAUAAUUGAACCGCAUGAUUUUGAUUUAAUCAAAGAUUUUAUCGCUGAAAGAUGAGCUCGNGU